rnacentral:rRNA from 1 species
GACGACGCUGGCGGCGCGCCUAAUGAAUGCGAGUCGAACGAGAAGCAGACAGUUGAUCUCUUCGGAGUGAUUCAGUCUGUGGAAAGUGGCGAACGGGUGAGUAACACGUGGGUAACCUACCUCCGAGACGGGGACAACACAGGGAAACUUGUGCUAAUACCCGAUGGUCUACCGGUGCACAUGUACCGGAUAGUAAAUGGUCAGCCGCUCGGAGAUGGGCCCGCGACCCAUUAGCUAGUUGGUGAGGUAACGGCUCACCAAGGCGACGAUGGGUAGCCGGUCUGAGAGGAUGGUCGGCCACACUGGGACUGAGACAUGGUCCAGACUCCUACGGGAGUUAGCAUCAGGGAAUCUUGCUCAAUGAGCGCAAGCUUGAAGCAGCGACGCCGCGUGUGGGAUGAAGGCCUUCGGGUCGUAAACCACUGUCAGGAGGGACGAAGAUCUGACGGUACCUCCAGAGGAAGCCCCGGCUAACUACGUG